CUAACCACUUGGAGUCCUUGGGUGCGAUUCAUGAACGAUACCUCUGGGGCCCCUUAGGGGCAAAUGCAGGGCUCAGCAUUCACAUACUCCAAAGCACUCUGGUUGCGCGUCUACUGAUAGCCAGACAUCUUGCUACCCAGCCUAUCCCCACAUUGACCCUCACGAUGCCAAUACAUGACCGAUAAACACACUUGGCGGGACAGGGAGG